UGGGAUAGUGGCGCACGGGUGAGUAACGCGUACGCAAUUUGCCCUCAAUUGGGGGAUAGCCCUGGGAAACUGGGAGUAAUACCCCAUAGAGUUAUGUAGCUGCAUGGCGAGAUAACUAAAGUUCCGGCGAUUGAGGAUGAGCGUGCGUCUGAUUAGCUAGUUGGUAGGGUAACGGCCUACCAAGGCGAUGAUCAGUAGGGGGCGUGAGAGCGUGGCCCCCCACACGGGUACUGAGACACGGACCCGACUCCUACGGGAGGCAGCAGUAAGGAAUAUUGGGCAAUGGGCGCAAGCCUGACCCAGCCAUCCCGCGUGCAGGAUGACGGCCCUAUGGGUUGUAAACUGCUUUUGUUUGAGAAGAACUAAGUACAUUAAUGUGCUUUUGACGGUAUCUUACGAAUAAGCACCGGCUAACUCCGUGCCAGCAGCCGCGGUAAUACGGAGGGUGCAAGCGUUAUCCGGAAUCACUG
rnacentral:rRNA from 1 species